AUGGUUGCUGCUGGAGCCCUUGUACGACAGAAUACAAGAAUCCCAUGUGGGGAGGUAUGGGGAGGAAAUCCAGCCAAGUUCCUGAGGAAGCUGACAGAGGAAGAGAUUGCUUUCAUAGCCCAGUCAGCUACAAACUAUAGCAACUUAGCCCAGGUGCAUGCUACCGAGAAUGCAAAGCCUCUGGACAUGAUCGAGUUUGAGAAGGUUCUGCGAAAGAAGUAUGCUCGCAGGGACGAGGAGUAUGAUUCCAUGCUUGGAGUGGUCCGGGAAGU
rnacentral:misc_RNA from 1 species